AUUGACACUUCAGUGUCCGAUUUUUCCAAUGAAAAAGAUAAAUUAAGAGUUGAUGAUAGUGAUACACCAUCAUCGUCGUUGCCCUCUGUAAAAGCAAAGAAAACAGUUAGAAAACAUAAAAGGUUUGGUUUGCAGAAUGAUGAAAGUUCUGUAAGUUCAACUUCAUCAAUUCCGAAACAAAAAAUUCAGUCAUCAAAUGAAAGACCUCUAAACUCAGAUGUUUUUCAAAAUUCAUUGUCUAAAACGAAGAUAAUGCUACUAAACGGUCAAUGAAAUUGCAAUCAAAACAAAAAGGAACCUGAGAUUUCAAAAUAUUUAAUAACUUCAAAUGCAAAUAAGGAAAAUAAAGACCAAACAUCAUCGGAGAAGAGAUACAAAUCUUACCCAACAUGCAGUUGUACAGAUAAUCACCGGAAUUUCCAUUAAAGUCUUUCUUGAAAUCCAUGAAGCGAAGCAUUGAAUAUAUAAUCCGCGAAGAGACUAGAAAAAUUAGAAAAGUUAUUGCCGCUAAUAACAAUGUCGGACAGAUUGAAAAAAAUCAUGCUGGAGGGAAAAAUUACUGAUUUGCCGAAGGAUACUUUAAACAGUUUCCUACAAUUUGAAAACGAUUUGAAGAAAGAUGAAGACUUGAUCAAGAAAGUCAAAUGCUUCAUAGUGCUUAAUAUAUUGUAAAAAAUGUAAAGUUUACAGAAAAUCUUAGUUCAGUUAUUCCUCAUAUUAUAACGAAAAACGUACAACUCCUUUAUUCUGCUUUUGGACGAGAAACAAAUGGUGUGCAAAAAUUAAAUUUUUCUAAGACAGAGACUUAUAAACAUUUUCGAGAAAUACUACUACCUACUAAAUCCUACUUACUAAAUGUCCGAAAUUUCAAUUAAAAAAAGUCAACUCCCAAUUUAGUCGCUGGUUUUCGGGUGCAAAAGAUAGAGAAGGUGGGAAAAGGGAUAGGAAUUUAAAAAAGUUCAAAAAAACGGAGGAAGUUACAGAAAUUGAAGAAACUGAAGAGACUGAGAUGUAAUAUUUCCAAAUUCUUAUUUAUGAUACCGACACAAUGAUAUCGACAACUACCGAUAAACGAUCUAGAAUAGUAUCCCUAAAUUAUACAAAAAACGUUACUGCGCAAAUAUCAGUACUGACCUGACACUAAUCCAGUAUAGAGCAUCAUUAUCAUGCCCGAUUUAUGCCAGUACCGCGUCCGUAAGAUCAGUACUGCACCUGCACUUACAGCCAGUACUGACUCAUUACUGGCAAACCAAUACUGAACAUUGUUAUCAUCCCACACAUAUAUCAGUAUAGAUGUCAACACUGGCUGCCGAUACUGCGCCAGUAUUAGCCAGUACUGGCGCAGUACUGCGCCUUUUAUGAAUUUUUUAUUGGGCGGAACGAAUACAAGGACAAUUUUAUAAGCGUUGGACCGCUAACCAUCAGAAUUUGCAUGCUAAACGAUGCUACGCUCGUACGUCUCGAUUCUUUGUCCGUACGCAUUACGAUGACUGAGAUGACACUGCGCCAUAUGUUUGACUUUGACGGCUAACGUUCGAACAAUUAGCCCGACUCAUCGAUAUGAUUAAUGUCAAGUAUAUGCGAUUCUCCAAUAUCACGUCUGAGAACGCUAUAUGCGAUAGCGACAUCUUCAAUGGAGCUCGUCGAUUGCGAGCUAUUAGUUUUAGUUUUUAAUACGUAUGAAAAA